rnacentral:rRNA from 1 species
CCUACGGGUGGCAGCAGUGAGGAAUAUUGGUCAAUGGUCGGGAGACUGAACCAGCCAAGCCGCGUGAGGGAUGAAGGUACAGAGUAUCGUAAACCUCUUUUGUCAGGGAACAAAGGCGGGGACGCGUCCCCGGAUGAGUGUACCUGAAGAAAAAGCAUCGGCUAACUCCGUGCCAGCAGCCGCGGUAAUACGGAGGAUGCGAGCGUUAUCCGGAUUUAUUGGGUUUAAAGGGUGCGCAGGCGGUCUGUUAAGUCAGGGGUAAACGCCCGGGGCCAAACCGCGGCCCGGCGUUGAAACUGGCAGUCUCGAGUUGGAGAGAAGUAUGCGGAAUGCGCGGUGUAGCGGUGAAAUGCAGAGAUAUCGCGCAGAACUACGAUUGCGAAGGCAGCAUGCCGGCUCCACACUGACGCUGAGGCACGAAAGCGUGGGUAGCGAACAGGAUUAGAUACCCGAGUAGUC